UACGUAGGUGGCAAGCGUUGUCCGGAAUCAUUGGGCGUAAAGCGCGCGUAGGCGGCUUGUCAGGUCUGAUGUGAAAUCUUGGGGCUCAACCCCAGCGUGCAUCGGAAACCGGCUUGCUAGAGUCUGGGAGAGGAGAGUGGAAUUCCUGGUGUAGCGGUGAAAUGCGUAGAUAUCAGGAGGAACACCGGUUGCGAAGGCGGCUCUCUGGAACAGUACUGACGCUGAGGCGCGAAAGCUAGGGGAGCGAACAGGAUUAGAUACCCCUAGUAGU
rnacentral:rRNA from 1 species